AUUAAUGGGUCUAAAUUUAUUAAGUAAAUAAAAUAAUCUAGUAACAAAUUUAAUAGACUGAAUAAAAUAAUCUAAUUUCAUACUAGCAUUUAACAAAACUGUAGUUCUAAACCCAGUUUUCAACAAAGUAUGGUUCAUCGCAUUUCACCGAUAACGGAAUCAAAGAACAAAGAGAAUCCCUUUUUGAAGUCUUCUCAAAGAGAAUCCAAACCCAGUUUCACCACAUUUCACCGAAACCCUUUUUACCACCGCGCAGUGACGAAAACGAAGCUGGUGGCCUAGUGGCGCCUUUUCCAGCCAUUGGCGCUUCGUUCUUGCUAUCUUUGGCAUCGACGAGGGCGGCGGAGGAGUAGAAGGCGACGCCAGUGGAGGUAACGGUUGUGAAACCGGAGGAGGUGAAGAAGAUUGAGGAGGAAGUGAUAACUUCGAGGAUUUACGAUGCGACGCGAUUGGUGAACCGUUGGCGUUUGGGAAAGAGAAAGGGAAAAUGUGGGAGAAGUUGAUGAAUGCUAGGGUUGUUUAUUUGGGGGAAGCUGAACAGGAUCCGGUUCGAGAUGAUAAGGAUUUGGAGCUUAAGAUUGUCAAGAAUUUGCAUAAGCGUUGUGUUGAGAUGAUAAGCGUUUAUCUUUGGCUAUUGAAGCUUUUCCCUCUGAUCUUCAGGAACCACUCAAUCAGUAUAUUGAUAAAAAUGGAAUUCGUCUUGUUACUUGUGGUACUCCACUGGAGAUAUUAAUUAAGGACUGUCCAAGCAGAAGGAGUUAGUGGGCUAACAAAGGCUGAACGUAAUUUAUACGCACCUCCUGCUGGUUCAGGCUUCAUAUCUAUCUGCACAGGUUAGAGUAGUUGACGAGUAUACUAUGUCCCGGACCCUGUAGCAGAAAAUGCUUUGACCGGGUUGAGAUUGCUCGGGUUAUGAAUGCUGCCAGACAGAGGCGGGAUGCCCUCCCACAGGUUAGCCAACCACUACAUCCACUGAUUAGCUUAACUGCUACUUUUCUUGCUUUGCUGAUUUCCCCUUCCAAAUUUUAUCCCUUUAUUUUCUCUCAUUGCCUAUUAGGCCUAGUUCUAGUCCAUAAUAUAGUCCUGUCAUUGGGCCUAGUUCCAGUCCAUAUUAUAGUCCUGUCAUUGGGCCUAGUUCUGUUGAUUGUAGGGCUUUGAAUAAAACAAUGAUUCGUUUUAUUACAUCUGUAUUCAAUGUACAACUCCAGAAAUCAUAAGUGGUUUAGAGUAUGAAUGGAUAUUAGCUGGCUUAUAUGAUCGUAAGUGACUUCUAUUCAAGUCUAUUUUAGUAGAUUUAUUAGUUAAGUAAUCCUUAAUGAUAUAUAUUAGACUCUAGUCAAUUUUAUUAGAUAGAUAUGGAUAUAUGUUUGAGAUUUGUAAUUUGCUAUCAUACUAAUAUGCUUACAUUUUUAAUGGGAGUUAGACUGGAUGGAUGAUCAUUUGUUAGAAAUAGAGAAAGAUCAAUGCAAAUUUUAAUUCAUACCAUUAUUUAAGAUUUGGAGUUAAAUAGAAAAUCUUUAAAUAAGAUCCAUGACAUUAUACUAUGACACUAUUUGAUCCAUGCAGUUAACUAUACCUAGUAGAAGAAACUUUGAUUGUUGUUCUUGUUGAGUGUCCAAUUGAUAUUAGUUAAUGAAUAAUAAAUGACAUUUCUUUAAUUAAAAAUCCAUCAUUUAAUACAUUGGUAGCCUAAAAAGUCAGUUUUCGUUUAAUAUUUUCAAGUUUUGAAUCUUUUCACACAUUAGCAUACUAUGAAGAAUCUGUGAUAUGACUCAUACUUGAACUAAAUUUAAGAUUUAAAAUCUCUAGAGUAAAAAGAUACAAGAAGUUCAUGCAACUUGCAGUAUGAGAAAUAUUAACUUGACAGUGCUACUAAUAUUUUAAAAUGCCUCAUACUUCCUUUCUAUUUUUUCAAUUCAGUUGAUUACAUCCUAAUUGUGAACAUCUUGCAGCACAUAGUAAUUUUUGGUGAAACGUUUUAGGUCAUACUUUCUACUAUUAAACUAACUAAUUGCUUUGUUAACUUACGUCAUGUUUUUCCAUAAUUUUUUAUUCUUAGGAUUUGAAAAUAGGUGAUGAAAUCAAUGUCAUAGAUUCUUGUUUUUGUGAUGCUAAAUGGUUCUAUAUGUUGUAUACAUGUUAUAAUACCAAGUAACUGUUUUGGAUGAGUUUUAGUGAGAAAAACGUGUUGAUAAUCGUAUUCUAAAGAGGUUUUGAUAAAUAAAGAUGAAGUUGCGGAAGAUGACAAUGGUGGUGGCAGAGAGCACAUAAUGGAAGAAAUGCAGAUGCUUGUGUUAGAGAAAAGACAGUAUAGUCCAGUGUAGUCAGAAAGGGAUAUGUCUAUUGAAUUUAUGAGCAUCAAUUCCAGCAUUAGAUCCUCCCAAGAACCAUUAUAUCCUCAAAGAGUCUCUCCCAGAGUCCUCAAUCCCCGACAGUCUUCAAAAUAUCGGACAACACUAGUUUAUUAAAUCUCAGCCCCCGAAACUCAGUUUUCUUUAGAUGAGAAUUCACUUUGUUCUUCAGAUUCUGAUGCUGAAAUGAGGAAAAAGACAGAAAUAUAGCAUUGUUGGAACCUCAACAAAUCCAAACCCAUCCCUGAGAUUCUGAGGCUGAAAUGAGGUAAUUGAUGCCAGCUAGAGAACGAAAAGGAUCACAAGGAGAGGGUACUCCUUUGGUCUGUGGUUUCCCUCUCGCUAUUGGUAGUCGGAUAUAUUCUGGAGAUUUUAGGAAUUCCUGUAUCAAAAGCACUGUACAGAUUAAGCUACAUGUUCAUCACCGCAGAGGCAUCGGGCUUUGUUUUGACUGCUAUAUACUACAUUACAUCUGGAGAAUUAUCUGCAGCCUCACCAGAGAGGUUGUCAAUGGCAUCUCAUGGAAAUGUUCGUGACAUCUGGAGAAUUAUCUGCAGCCUCACCAGAGAGGUUGUCAAUGGCAUCUCAUGGAAAUGUUCGUGGAAAUACAAAACACAUUGUUCUCAACUAUACAGAAAAUGAUGUGUUAGAUGAUGGCUGUUAAGUUUUGAUAACUUUUGAGUUGACUAAUUUGUAAUUGUUGCAGUACAACUCUGAGCCUGAAGCCGUUGACCUUUUAAUGGAGGUAACAUGUUGAGGACCUUGACAUGUUGAAUGAAUAUAUAGACAAAACAAAUUUACGAAGGUGUUUACUUCUUGCAAUGAUGUGCAUCAAAAGAAGCAAUUCUGUUACAUUAUUGCACGUCAUGGAAUUGCUUUUGUGCUCGACAUAGAAAUGGCUGGAAAUGAAGAUGACAGAGAAAAGUUGCAGGAUAUCUUAUACAAUUCUAAGUUAAGUGAAGGAUAUCUAGCUCUUGCUCGUGAUCUUGAAGUCAUGGAGGCCAAGUCCCCUAUGGAUAUAUACAAGGUUUGACACUGAGAAUAAAUUUAGUCCCGCCUCAAUGAAUCCCGGUACAUGUGUAGUUUUUACAUCUAAUGCCCUAAGAUUAGAAUUGUAAAUAAUUAAAUUAUGGUCCAAUUUGAUGAAAGGGCAUGUAAAUAAAUCAUGCUCUUUUAAUUUGAGGUACAAACAACUAUUAGUUUUGCUGCUUGCAUAUGUUUUCUUUUAAAUCUACGAUUUUUUUUAUUAAUAGUUGUAAGUGAUUGUUGAACAAUUGGUUAUGAUUUUUUAUACAAGUGUUGAACUUGGUGCUCAUAUUUUAAAAGCCAAAAAAUAAUCUGCAAUGCAAGUAUGUGUGAAGUUAUUUUCAGAAAUCAGAAGCUACUAUUUUUAACUGCCAAAAACAUUGCUUAAGCAGCUAUUUUGAAGAUUGGCUUUUCAAACACGAGGAACACGGGAGGACUAGUGCUGUAGCAUGCCUGGGUAUGAUUUCACUCUGGGAUGUUAGGAGAUAGUAUCAUUGAGAAUAUUGUAAAUAGAUUAUGGACUAAGCCAAGGCUAUGACAUCUACAUAGCUAGAUUAUUGAUGUCAAAUAGCCGCUAUCAAACUGGUCAUUUCUUGGCCAACCCACAAGGUGACCUAGGUCUUCAGUUUGCACAGCUUGGCCGAGAUGUAAAUUUUAUGGACUUUGGCAGUACAUGUUCAACAAGUUAGAGCUUCAUGUACUUAUUUUAGGGAAUGACAAGGCUGGCAAAACGACUUUGCUUGAGAAGAUGAAGUCGGUGUACACGAAUGUAGAAGUUCUUCCUCCGGAUCGAAUUGUGGAAAGCAAUUGCUUCUCCAGGGCGUGGUAUUUUGGCCAUGGAUGAAUCCAAUGCUACAUGUGGAAAGCAGAUGGAUUCAAUUGGAGUAGAGAACACUGAAGCUAACUGUCAAGCAUGGUGUAAAAUUAUAUAUGAAGAAAAUGUUAUGACUUGGUUAAAAUAUAAUUUUUAUGUGUAUGAUUUUUUAGUACUUGAAAUAUUAUGAAUGCACAUGAUUUUGUAUACUUUUUGGUUAAUAUUAAAAAUAUUUUGACUUAGUCAAAAUAUGAUUUUUAUGUGUAUGAUUUUAUAGUAUUUGUAAUAUUAUGACUGAAAAUGAAAUAUAACUAAAUGAUGUAUAUGAAAUAGGGUGUAAAUAGAUUUAAAUAUAAUAUAAUUGUUCAUUCAUAAAUGACGUAUUUACUC